rnacentral:misc_RNA from 1 species
GUGGAAUCAAACUCGUAACUUUAGUUUUAAUUCACAUUGAGCCCCUAAAAUAUCUCUUUGCGAAAUUUUCUCUUUCCCAGAAUUGUUCUCCUUGCCUCUCCGCAAAUCAACAAACCCAAUCUCUGUCUCUCUCUUUCCGCAAAUCAACAUAAACUGUUACAAUAAAUCAACAAACACAAUCACAAGAAUAUAGCAAUAAUAUAAGAAACAAAAUUAAGAAAUUCAGAAAGGGUCCAGGAAAGUUUCAGG